CAGCUGUCUUGCGGGGAGAAUUCUGAGAUGACAGCCUCCAGUGGAACACUAGGGACAAAGGCCCAUUAACCUCUUCAAGAAACCAGGGAAGGGGAAAAUGAAGCUCUUGGUGACUUCGAAGUGGUGCUGACAGCGCAUGAACAAUUUUGCCCUGGCUUGGAACUGCACAGCGUGCAGCCAAAGGGAUGUGCUUGGUAAAAACCUAAAUUCUGUGGAAAUAAAUGGGAAUCAAAUAGGAAAGAGCCACUUACAUGAUACAACAACAGAGGAGAAUAGUUCUUUCACGGAAUACUCAUGCACAACCUUCAAAGAGGUUCAUAGUCACUGCAAGAAUUCCUGGGAAGACAUCUAAGCAUCGCUUUCAUUAAAAAGAAUUAAGCCUGUUCUAAAGAAUCAGAUCUCUAAGAUAUUGCACUGAAAUUGACACAAUGGAGAAGACAUAGAUCAUUUCCUGUUGAAACCCAAUUACCUCAAGGUAAAACAAAACAAACUCCAUUUAAUAAAUGAAAUAUUACUUAAAUGUUUUCAUUUUGGGGUCUAUUCCUUUUCCCCUUUAUAUCCUGGAAAGCUAUAUGUCUAAGUACACUUGUUUUGUUGCUUCAUUAGUCUCUCAACUUCAUUUCCAGAGACUAUAACAAGAAUGGA
rnacentral:lncRNA from 1 species